UACGAAGGUGGCAAGCGUUACUCGGAAUUACUGGGCGUAAAGGGCAGGUAGGCGGUUUGGUAAGUCUGUUGUGGAAGCUCCCGGCUUAACUGGGAGAGGUCAACGGAUACUACCAAGCUUGAGUAUAGGAGAGGUUACUGGAAUUCCCGGUGUAGCGGUGAAAUGCGCAGAUAUCGGGAGGAACACCAAUGGCGAAAGCAGGUAACUGGACUAUUACUGACACUAAGCUGCGAAAGCUAGGGGAGCAAACAGG
rnacentral:rRNA from 1 species